rnacentral:snRNA from 1 species
GUGCUCGCUUCGGCAGCACAUACACUAAAAUUGGAAUGAUACAGAGAAGAUUAGCAUGGCCCCUGUACAAGGAUGACAUGCAAAUUCGUGAAGCGUUCCAUAUUUAA